rnacentral:rRNA from 1 species
ACUGAAUAGAUACCCCGGUAGUCCACGCUGUAAACGAUGAUUACUCGAUGUUGGCGAUACACAGUCAGCGUCUGAGCGAAAGCAAUAAGUAAUCCACCUGGGGAGUACGAUCGCAAGAUUGAAACUCAAAGGAAUUGACGGGGGCCCGCACAAGCGGAGGAGCAUGUGGUUUAAUUCGAUGAUACGCGAGGAACCUUACCUGGGCUCGAACGUAAGAUGACUGUAGGUGAAAGCUUGCAUCUCUUCGGAGCAUUUUACGAGGUGCUGCAUGGUUGUCGUCAGCUCGUGCCGUGAGGUGUCGGGUUUAAGUCCCAUAACGAGCGCAACCCCUACCUUUAGUUGCCAACAGGUCAAGCUGGGGUACUCUAAAGGAACUGCCUACGCAAGUAGUGAGGAAGGCGGGGAUGACGUCAAAUCAGCACGGCCCUUACGUCCAGGGCUACACACGUGCUACAAUGGCCGAUACAGAGGGCAGCUACCUGGUGACAGGAUGCAAAUCUCCAAAGUCGGUCUCAGUUCGGA